CGAUGUUGUGCCACAAACAUUCGGUGUCAAUAUUUCUUUAGUACACCAGAUCUAGAUUUCGACAAUAUAUGUCUCUUCAGUGAUGUUAGGGAUCGAAACGGUAUUUGGAAGGCCAUAUAAUUUACUCUCAAUUUAAGAUUGACUCUUGAAUUUUAAGAGACAAUAUAGGAUGAACGGAUCAUAUAAACCGGAGGGAAAAUAUGAUACAUGCCCAAACAAAAAAUAUAAACGAG
rnacentral:lncRNA from 1 species